GUGGGGAAUAUUGGACAAUGGGCGCAAGCCUGAUCCAGCAACGCCGCGUGAAUGAUGAAGGCCUUCGGGUCGUAAAGUUCUUUUGGUAGGGAAGAAAAUGACGGUACCUACAGAAUAAGCUCCGGCUAACUUCGUGCCAGCAGCCGCGGUAAUACGAAGGGGGCUAGCGUUGUUCGGAAUUACUGGGCGUAAAGCGUGCGUAGGUUGUUAUUCAAGUUAGUGGUGAAAGCCCAGGGCUUAACUCUGGAACUGCCAUUAAAACUGAAUAGCUAGAGAGUGUUAGAGGUAAGUGGAAUUCCUAGUGUAGGAGUGAAAUCCGUAGAUAUUAGGAGGAACAUCAAUGGCGAAGGCAGCUUACUGGGUCACAUCUGACACUGAGGCACGAAAGCGUGGGUAGCAAACAGGAUUAGAUACCCCAGUAGUCC
rnacentral:rRNA from 1 species